rnacentral:rRNA from 1 species
UACGUAGGGUGCAAGCGUUAAUCGGAAUUACUGGGCGUAAAGCGUGCGCAGGCGGUUUUGUAAGUCUGACGUGAAAUCCCCGGGCUCAACCUGGGAAUUGCGUUGGAGACUGCAAGGCUAGAAUCUGGCAGAGGGGGGUAGAAUUCCACGUGUGAGCAGUGAAAUGCGUAGAGAUGUGGAGGAACACCGAUGGCGAAGGCAGCCCCCUGGGAUCGAAGAU